GGCACGUCCUCGAGCUCCGCCGGCUUGCCGCGCGUCCUUCUGCCGGCUUCAGCUCGUAUCCCCGGAGUCCACCCGCCCGUCCCGGGGUGCGGACUGGCCCUGAGCUGGCCGUACAGCCCGGCUUCGGACGGUCCUCGCUGGAGCCAUGGGCCGCCGGCUCGGCAGGGUGGCGGCGCUGCUGCUCGGGCUGCUAGUGGAGGGGGUUACAACUAAGAGAUUGCCUUGAGUCUCAGGAAAGACUUCAGCUUUGGACUUUUAAACUGUGUUGAGACUAUGAAAGACUGCUCAGCACCAUGCCUACCUGCCUGCUGCCUGCUCCCUGCCAUGAUGGUCAUGGACUCUAAACCUCUGCAGCUACACUUGCCCUUUGCUUUUGUGUUCGUGGUCAAUGUUCAGUACACCAGGACCAAGAUUGCCCUGCUGUUUACUGUUAGCUGGUGUAUCCCUGCUCCUGUCCAUCACCAUCACCUGCCCUGAGAGAGGGGUGAAUGACUAGAAUCAUUGCUACCUUUUCUAUCCCAUGUCUGGAUAUAACAGGAGAAAGGGUGCUGACUAUGAAGAUUUCUUGAGUAGAACGCAGGAUCUUGCUCUGUGGAGGGCAUCAGAGGGAGAACUGAAGGCAUCCUGGGUCUGGCCACAGUUGGUGUGCACUGAGGCCAAAAAACAUUGCUGGUAUUUUGAAGGACUCUAUCCCACAUACUAUAUAUGCCGUUCCUAUGAAGACUGCUGUGGCUCCAGGUGCUGUGUGAGGGCCCUUUCCAUACAGAGGCUGUGGUAUUUUUGGUUCCUGCUGAUGAUGGGUGUGCUGUUCUGCUGUGGUGCCGGUUUCUUCAUUCGCCGGCGCAUGUAUCCGCCACCACUCAUUGAGGAGCCCACAUUCAAUGUGUCCUAUACCAGGCAGCCACCAAAUCCUGCUCCAGGAGCACAGCAAAUGGGACCGCCAUAUUACACCGACCCUGGAGGACCCGGGAUGAAUCCUGUUGGCAAUACCAUGGCUAUGGCUUUCCAGGUCCAGCCCAAUUCACCUCACGGAGGCACAACUUACCCACCCCCUCCUUCCUACUGCAACACGCCUCCACCCCCCUAUGAACAGGUGGUGAAGGACAAGUAGCAAGAUGCUACAUCAAAGGCAAAGAGGAUGGACAGGCCCUUUUGUUUACCUUCCCAUCCUCACCGAUACUUGCUGAUAGGGUGGUCCAAGGGAAAACUUGGAUAUUCUCAAAGCAAGCCCAGCUCUCUUUCAAGUCUUUUGUGGAGGACAUUUGAAUCCACACUGUCUCCUCUGUUGCUUCUGUUUCUGAUGUAGUCUGUGCUCUCUGAGAGAGUGUGGCAACAGUCCCUGAGGGUUGAUAUUCCUAGGGUGUCCAGGGUAGAUCCUCGGGAGAGAGGCUAAGGGGAAAGGAAGGCAUAGCCUGUGUGUUAGGGGGCAGAUAAAGUGGUCAGGCUGAGAUAAGACUCACAUGAUGCAGUAGUUGGCAGUGAACUUCGAAGAGACACUAUCCACCAUCCCAGCCCAUUCUCCUAAUAGAAGCUGUGGGGCUGUGUUGUUGAUGCUCUUUGGUCUCCACUCACAUUUUGAAAAUAGGCUUUCCUCUGCAGGAAUAGGAAAGACCCAAGUACAUAUUUGCUUCCACUUAAAAAUGAGGGUCAGAACCAGGCCUCAGUUGGACAUCUAUAGUUAAAUAAAGGCCAUUAGAGAGGGGAAAUCUUUAAGUUAGGGGAAAUUCUCUAAAUGGAGACAUUGCGUUUUAUGAAUCAUCGUCUGGCUUUUCUUUUAGUGCAUGUAUUGAAGUGAGGGUGUCCUUUGAGAUCAGAUGGGGAGAGUGAACUCUGCGGGGGGUGGGGUGUCUCUACUCAGAGGGCUCCAACACCCUUUUCUUAGGUAGUUCUGGUGAUGGGUUUUAUGGGCACUAUAGAGCUGAGGGGCACAUUAGGCCGGGUAGUUACAUUGACCCUUGGAGAGGAAGAGGACAGCCAAAGAAACUCAGCAAAGCAAGACCAGCAUUGCUGAGUUAGAGCUAGGGUUGUAUGUGAUCCCAACAGAGAUGUGCUGGCCUCAGAAGAGGGGACGUUUGUGGAUAGAGCCGUGAAAACCUACUUAGUUGCACAGAUGACAUAAUCAAAAGUAGAGAAAGAAGUGUAGUUAGAGAUGCCAUUUCCCAGGUGAGAAUCAGAGCUCAUCCAUAGAUUUACAAGUAGUGGCUGGAGUUAACAGUAUGGAGUUCUUUUCCCUUGCGUAGUUAGUCACGUUGAUGUGUAUUUAAACCCAGGUUGAGACCUUGUGUACUAAGAGCAAGGAAGUAUAGCUAAGAUGUCUAGAUUAUUUAUAUGUAGUAUGGUGGGGAGUGGGGCUGCAAGGAAGGGGGCUGACAUUGUAAAUGAGAAAAUCAGAGCCAUUUGAUAAACUGUUACUUGUUGGAUCAGGCAUCCAAAAGUGUCUCUUGAGUGGACAUUGAGUAUUCUUUACCACCUACAAGACCAGGAGGCAUGGUGUCAUUCUCCAUUGGGGUAUUUAUAUGAGGUAGAGGUUCAGGAAUCGACAGUAGCUGUGUGGGCUUAGUUUAAGGACUGAAAGCAUAGGGACUGGUAGACAGUUUCAUAGGAAACUGCGGGGAAGGAAUGGAUACCUUUAAAGACAGUUUGUGGAUGCAGAUGCUGCCACCCAUCAUUGAGCACCCUUGUGUCUCUGGCUUCCUGUCACUGGAUCCAGUACCCCUCCAUGCUUGGGUCCUUGUUUUACAUAAGACAACAAAGCACAAUGUCUGCUGUUUACAAUCAAGACGACUACAUGGUCCAAACAUUUCUUCUCUCUUCUAUCACUUGUGGCUUUAACUUCCAUUUCCUCCGUUCCUUUUUAAAAUCAAGAAGCACAGUCAGAGCUGCCCCUGGGAUUGCAUCAGGGAACGGCUGAUCAAGGCAUUCAGUGUCCAUGACUAAAUCUUAUCUUUUUGAUAGCAAAUCCUUUUAAGAAACUGAACAAUUGCUAAGGCUCAGCAAUUUUAUACUCCAAUGUCUGUGUAAGGUAAAUUUUGUUUGCCAUUGAGCCCACAUUGGAAUUCCUUCUGACGUCAACACUGACAAUGCCUAUGGAAAUUGCACUUCUGGGUAUAUGUCCCAGCAUCCUUGUUUUCUUAUGUUUGGUGAGUAAGGCUCACCCCUUCCAGCAGCUCUACUUCUGUGUGCUGAGGUCCUGUAGAGCCGGGGCUUGGGCACAGACAUGAGGCAGACUUGUGCAUGCUCUUUCUUGGCAACACUUGGCUCAUAUUUCUUGUUCUCUUUUGAUAGAGUCCUGUUUCCUAUGUAUUUAAAAAAUAAUAAAAGUGAAUUUAGUCA